rnacentral:rRNA from 1 species
UACGGAGGGGGCUAGCGUUGUUCGGAAUUACUGGGCGUAAAGCGCGCGUAGGCGGACCUGCAAGUCGGGGGUGAAAGCCCGAGGCUCAACCUCGGAACUGCCUUCGAUACUGCGGGUCUCGAGUCCGGGAGAGGUGAGUGGAAUUCCUAGUGUAGAGGUGAAAUUCGUAGAUAUUAGGAAGAACACCAGCGGCGAAGGCGGCUCACUGGCCCGGUACUGACGCUGAGGCGCGAAAGCGUGGGGAGCAAACAGG